rnacentral:rRNA from 1 species
AACGAACGCUGGCGGCAUGCCUAACACAUGCAAGUCGAACGAGACCUUCGGGUCUAGUGGCGCACGGGUGCGUAACGCGUGGGAACCUGCCCUUAGGUUCGGAAUAACUCCCCGAAAGGGGUGCUAAUACCGGAUCAUGUCUUCGGACCAAAGAUUUAUCGCCUUUGGAUGGGCCCGCGUUGGAUUAGCUAGUUGGUAGGGUAAAAGCCUACCAAGGCGACGAUCCAUAGCUGGUCUGAGAGGAUGAUCAGCCACACUGGGACUGAGACACGGCCCAGACUCCUACGGGAGGCAGCAGUGGGGAAUAUUGGACAAUGGGCGAAAGCCUGAUCCAGCAAUGCCGCGUGAGUGAUGAAGGCCUUAGGGUUGUAAAGCUCUUUUACCCGGGAUGAUAAUGACAGUACCGGGAGAAUAAGCGCCGGCUAACUCCGUG